rnacentral:rRNA from 4 species
ACUUAAAUUGAAGAGUUUGAUCAUGGCUCAGAUUGAACGCUGGCGGCAGGCCUAACACAUGCAAGUCGAACGGUAACAG